rnacentral:rRNA from 1 species
GAUGAACGCUGGCGGCGUGCCUAAUACAUGCAAGUCGAGCGAACAGACGAGGAGCUUGCUCCUCUGAUGUUAGCGGCGGACGGGUGAGUAACACGUGGAUAACCUACCUAUAAGACUGGGAUAACUUCGGGAAACCGGAGCUAAUACCGGAUAACAUGUUGAACCGCAUGGUUCAACAGUGAAAGACGGUCUUGCUGUCACUUAUAGAUGGAUCCGCGCCGCAUUAGCUAGUUGGUAAGGUAACGGCUUACCAAGGCAACGAUGCGUAGCCGACCUGAGAGGGUGAUCGGCCACACUGGAACUGAGACACGGUCCAGACUCCUACGGGAGGCAGCAGUAGGGAAUCUUCCGCAAUGGGCGAAAGCCUGAUGGAGCAACGCCGCGUGAGUGAAGAAGGUCUUCGGAUCGUAAAACUCUGUUAUUAGGGAAGAACAAAUGUGUAAGUAACUAUGCACGUCUUGACGGUACCUAAUCAGAAAGCCACGGCUAACUACGUG